CCAUAACAACACCUAAACAGGGUGCUCUGGAAAUCUAAUCAAAUUCCUUUAUAGAGGAAAUGAUACAUAAGUCCAUAACAAAACCUACGCUACAGAAGUCUGCUUGAAUUCCUUCAGAUGAGCUACUUAACAUCUGCCGAGAAGUUAACACACGAGAUUCAAAGGUUAGUUAAUUGACCAAUAAACAUAUUUACGGAUCCCUGCUCUAUAUUGUAUCAUAUGUAAUUCCUACCACUGGCAUGGCACUCAGACAGCCACAAGUCUAUUUGUUCAGNUGACCUGCUGCCUUACUUUGUGAACUGCUUCUGGGGAACUGCAGUUCUGGGCAUUACCUUCAAGGCUCAAAGGAGCUUGGGGACAUCCUCGCAAAUCAGUACCAUGACCACAAUUAUGACAAGUGAUUACGUAUGAAGGCAUAUCAGGAGAUGAAAUCUGUUUUGAUGCAUGACGCCAAGGAUCUUGGGAACCAUUUGUAAAAACAAUUUUGGAGCCUGCAAUUUUUGUGCCCCCAUAGUAUAUAUUUGUUACAU
rnacentral:misc_RNA from 1 species